rnacentral:rRNA from 1 species
CCUACGGGGGGCAGCAGUCGAGAAUCAUUCACAAUGGGGGAAACCCUGAUGGUGCGACGCCGCGUGGGGGAAUGAAGGUCUUCGGAUUGUAAACCCCUGUCAUGUGGGAGUAAAUUAAAAAGAUAGUACCACAAGAGGAAGAGACGGCUAACUCUGUGCCAGCAGCCGCGGUAAUACAGAGGUCUCAAGCGUUGUUCGGAAUCACUGGGCGUAAAGCGUGCGUAGGCUGUUUCGUAAGUCGUGUGUGAAAGGUGCGGGCUCAACCCGCGGACGGCACAUGAUACUGCGAGACUAGAGUAAUGGAGGGGGAGCCGGAAUUCUCGGUGUAGCAGUGAAAUGCGUAGAUAUCGAGAGGAACACUCGUGGCGAAGGCAGGUUCCUGGACAGUAACUGACGCUGAGGCACGAAGGCCAGGGGAGCGAAAGGGAUUAGAUACCCUAGUAGUC